rnacentral:rRNA from 1 species
AUUGAACGCUGGCGGAAUGCUUUACACAUGCAAGUCGAACGGCAGCACGGACUUCGGUCUGGUGGCGCGUGGCGAACGGGUGAGUAAUGUAUCGGAACGUGCCCAGUCGUGGGGGAUAACGUAGUGAAAAUUACGCUAAUACCGCAUACGAUCUAUGGAUGAAAGCGGGGGAUCGCAAGACCUCGCGCGAUUGGAGCGGCCGAAAUCAGAUUAGGUAGUUGGUGGGGUAAAGGCCCACCAAGCCAACGAUCUGUAGCUGGUCUGAGAGGACGACCAGCCAAACUGGAACUGAGGCACGGUCCAGACUCCUACGGGAGGCAGCAGUGGGGAAUUUUGGACAAUGGGCGAAAGCCUGAUCCAGCCAUUCCGCGUGCAGGAUGAAGGCCCUCGGGUUGUAAACUGCUUUUGUACAGAACGAAAAGAUUUCUACUAACACUAGGAGCUCAUGACGGUACUGUAAGAAUAAGCACCGGCUAACUACGUGCCAGCCGCCGCAGUAA